rnacentral:rRNA from 1 species
GAUGAACGCUGGCGGCGUGCCUAAUACAUGCAAGUCGAGCGAACAGACGAGGAGCUUGCUCCUCUGACGUUAGCGGCGGACGGGUGAGUAACACGUGGAUAACCUACCUAUAAGACUGGGAUAACUUCGGGAAACCGGAGCUAAUACCGGAUAAUAUAUUGAACCGCAUGGUUCAAUAGUGAAAGACGGUUUUGCUGUCACUUAUAGAUGGAUCCGCGCCGCAUUAGCUAGUUGGUAAGGUAACGGCUUACCAAGGCAACGAUGCGUAGCCGACCUGAGAGGGUGAUCGGCCACACUGGAACUGAGACACGGUCCAGACUCCUACGGGAGGCAGCAGUAGGGAAUCUUCCGCAAUUGGCGAAAGCUUGACGGAGCAACGCCGCGUGAGUUAUGAAGGUCUUCGGAUCGUAAAACUCUGUUAUUAGGGAAGAACAAAUGUGUAAGUAACUAUGCACGUCUUGACGGUACCUAAUCAGAAAGCCACGGCUAACUACGUG